rnacentral:tRNA from 1 species
AGUUACUUAUCUUUUAGGAAAGUAAGUGUUUUGAAAGCACCAGAAAAGAGUUCGAAUCUCUUAGUAACUU